GGGCGUCGAGCGGCGGACGGGUGAGUAAUGCCUAGGAAAUUGCCUUGAUGUGGGGGAUAACCAUUGGAAACGAUGGCUAAUACCGCAUAAUGCCUACGGGCCAAAGAGGGGGAUCUUCGGACCUCUCGCGUCAAGAUAUGCCUAGGUGGGAUUAGCUAGUUGGUGAGGUAAUGGCUCACCAAGGCGACGAUCCCUAGCUGGUCUGAGAGGAUGAUCAGCCACACUGGAGCUGAGACACGGUCCAGACUCCUACGGGAGGCAGCAGUGGGGAAUAUUGCACAAUGGGCGAAAGCCUGAUGCAGCCAUGCCGCGUGUAUGGAGAAGGCCUUCGGGUUGUAAAGUACUUUCAGUUGUGAGGAAGGGGAUAACGUUAAUAGCGUUAUCUCUUGACGUUAGCAACAGAAGAAGCACCGGCUAACUCCGUGCCAGCAGCCGCGGUAAUACGGAGGGUGCGAGCGUUAAUCGGAAUUACUGGGCGUAAAGCGCAUGCAGGUGGUUCAUUAAGUCAGAUGUGAAAGCCCGGGGCUCAACCUCGGAACUGCAUUUGAAACUGGUGAACUAGAGUGCUGUAGAGGGGGGUAGAAUUUCAGGUGUAGCGGUGAAAUGCGUA
rnacentral:rRNA from 1 species